GACCUACGGGAGGCAGCAGUAGGGAAUCUUCCACAAUGGGCGAAAGCCUGAUGGAGCAACGCCGCGUGGGUGAAGAAGGUCUUCGGAUCGUAAAACCCUGUUGUUAGAGAAGAAAGUGCGUGAGAGUAACUGUUCACGUUUCGACGGUAUCUAACCAGAAAGCCACGGCUAACUACGUGCCAGCAGCCGCGGUAAUACGUAGGUGGCAAGCGUUAUCCGGAUUUAUUGGGCGUAAAGCGAGUGCAGGCGGUUCAAUUAUGCUGGUGUGAAAUCCUUCGG
rnacentral:rRNA from 1 species